rnacentral:rRNA from 1 species
AUUGAACGCUGGCGGAAUGCUUUACACAUGCAAGUCGAACGGCAGCACGGACUUCGGUCUGGUGGCGAGUGGCGAACGGGUGAGUAAUGUAUCGGAACGUGCCCAGUCGUGGGGGAUAACGUAGUGAAAAUUACGCUAAUACCGCAUACGAUCUAUGGAUGAAAGCGGGGGAUCGCAAGACCUCGCGCGAUUGGAGCGGCCGAUAUCAGAUUAGGUAGUUGGUGGGGUAAAGGCCCACCAAGCCAACGAUCUGUAGCUGGUCUGAGAGGACGACCAGCCACACUGGAACUGGAACACGGUCCAGACUCCUACGGGAGGCAGCAGUGGGGAAUUUUGGACAAUGGGCGAAAGCCUGAUCCAGCCAUUCCGCGUGCAGGAUGCAGGGCCUCGGGUUGUAAACUGCUUUUGUACAGAACGAAAAGGUUUCUACUAAUACUAGGAGCUCAUGACGGUACUGUAAGAAUAAGCACCGGCUAACUACGUGCCAGCAGCCGCGGUAA